rnacentral:rRNA from 1 species
AGAGUUUGAUCAUGGCUCAGGACGAACGCUGGCGGCGUGCUUCACACAUGCAAGUCGAGCGGAAAGGCCCUUCGGGGUACUCGAGCGGCGAACGGGUGAGUAACACGUGAGCAACCUGCCCUUAGCUUUGGGAUAACCCUCGGAAACGGGGGCUAAUACCGAAUGUUCACUACUUGUCGCAUGGUGGGUGGUGGAAAGUUUUUCGGCUAGGGAUGGGCUCGCGGCCUAUCAGCUUGUUGGUGGGGUGAUGGCCUACCAAGGCGACGACGGGUAGCCGGCCUGAGAGGGCGACCGGCCACACUGGGACUGAGACACGGCCCAGACUCCUACGGGAGGCAGCAGUGGGGAAUAUUGCACAAUGGGCGAAAGCCUGAUGCAGCGACGCCGCGUGAGGGAUGACGGCCUUCGGGUUGUAAACCUCUUUCAGCAGGGAAGAAGCGCAAGUGACGGUACCUGCAGAAGAAGCACCGGCUAACUACGUGCCAGCAGCCGCGGUAA